CAUUACAGAGUGUAAAAACUCCCAUUAAACCCAAUGUUUAUCUAUUUUUUAACGGUUUCCUUUGGUAGGCAAUCCCAGGGCGGGAUUGAUUGCUGUUUUACAGCGCCUACCAAAGAUACCUAAAACUCUUGAAUUUUUAAAACUCUGAGAAUAAAACAAAUAAUUAAAACUUUCAACAACGGAUCUCUUGGUUCUGGCAUCGAUGAAGAACGCAGCGAAAUGCGAUAAGUAAUGUGAAUUGCAGAAUUCAGUGAAUCAUCGAAUCUUUGAACGCACAUUGCGCCUGCUAGCAUUCUGGCAGGCAUGCCUGUUCGAGCGUCAUUUCAACCCUCAAGCUUUUGCUUGGUGUUGAGGUUCUAUAAUUAUAGGCCUCUAAAUCUAUUGGCAGAACGUCAUAAACUCUCAAUUGUAGUAAAUUUUAUUUCUAUUGAAGAAUUUGGACUGCUCUAGCCGUAAAACACAGCGUGCUCUUUUGAGCCCUAUUUUUACAAGGUUGACCUCGGAUCAGGUAGGAAUACCCGCUGAACUUAAGCAUAUCAAUAAGCGGAGGAAAAGAAACCAACAGGGAUUGCCCUAGUAACGGCGAGUGAAGCGGCAACAGCUCAGAUUUGAAAUCUAGCCCUUUA
rnacentral:rRNA from 1 species